rnacentral:rRNA from 1 species
UGGGGAAUUUUGCACAAUGGGGGAAACCCUGAUGCAGCGACGCCGCGUGAUUUAGAAGGCCUUCGGGUUGUAAAAAUCUUUUCUAUGGGAAGAAAAUGACAGUACCAUAGGAAUAAGGACCGGCUAAUUACGUGCCAGCAGCCGCGGUAAUACGUAAGGUCCGAGCGUUGUCCGGAAUCAUUGGGCGUAAAGGGUACGUAGGCGGGUAAGCAAGUUAGAAGUGAAAUCCUAUAGCUCAACUAUAGUAAGCUUUUAAAACUGCUCAUCUUGAGGUAUGGAAGGGAAAGUGGAAUUCCUGGUGUAGCGGUGAAAUGCGCAGAUAUUAGGAGGAAUACCGGUGGCGAGGGCGACUUUCUGGCCAUAACCUGACGAUGAGAUACGAAAACGUGGGUAGCAAACGGG